rnacentral:rRNA from 1 species
AAUAGAUACCCUGGUAGUCCACGCCGUAAACGAUGAGUGCUAAGUGUUAGGGGGUUUCCGCCCCUUAGUGCUGCAGCUAACGCAUUAAGCACUCCGCCUGGGGGAGUACGGUCGCAAGACUGAAACUCAAAGGAAUUGACGGGGGCCCGCACAAGCGGUGGAGCAUGUGGUUUAAUUCGAAGCAACGCGAAGAACCUUACCAGGUCUUGACAUCCCGCUGACCGCUAUGGAGACAUAGCUUUCCCUUCGGGGACAGCGGUGACAGGUGGUGCAUGGUUGUCGUCAGCUCGUGUCGUGAGAUGUUGGGUUAAGUCCCGCAACGAGCGCAACCCUUGUUCUUAGUUGCCAUCAUUCAGUUGGGCACUCUAAGGAGACUGCCGGUGAUAAACCGGAGGAAGGUGGGGAUGACGUCAAAUCAUCAUGCCCCUUAUGACCUGGGCUACACACGUGCUACAAUGGACGGUACAAACGGUCGCGAAGUCGCGAGACGGAGCCAAUCCGAGAAAACCGUUCUCAGUUCGGAUUGUAGGCUGC